AUUAACUUACACUAACCAGCGCCAGGGAAUUACGAGCUAUGCUUAAAACCCAAAGGACUUGACGGUUUCCCACCCCCCUAGAGGAGCCUGUUCUAUAAUCGAUGAUCCCCGCUAUACCCAACCAUCCCUCGCUACCAGUCUGUAUACCUCCGUCGAAAGCUUACCAUAUGAACGUUUUCAGUAAGCCCAAUGACCCCAUCAAUACGUCAGGUCAAGGUGCAGCUUAAGGAAUGGAAAGUAAUGGGCUACAAUUUCUAACCUAGAACAAACGAAAGACUAUGUGAAACCAUAGUCAUGAAGGCGGAUUUAGUAGUAAAAAGAAAAUAGAGUGUUCUUUUUAACAUGGCUCUGGGACGCGUACACACCGCCCGUCACCCUCUUCAAUAGUAUCCUAAUUUAGUUAUUAACCCCUUUUACCUUACAUCUUAGAAGAGGCAAGUCGUAACAUGGUAAGUGUACUGGAAAGUGCACUUGGAACACAAAAUGUAGCUUAAUAAAGCCCCCCGCUUACACCGAGAAGUUGUCUGUUAAACCCAGAUCAUUUUGAGCCUAAAAUCUAGCCUUCACAUUCACAUGACCCCACUAAUUCACCGCCCUAAAUAAAACAUUUUUACAUUUAAGUACAGGCGACAGAAAAACUUCUAAGCGCUUCAGACAAAGUACCGCAAGGGAAUUAUGAAAUAGAAAUGAAAUAA
rnacentral:rRNA from 1 species